CCUCUUCAGGCAUUGGAAGGCUGGUGCCAGAGAACAGGGCUAACGCCUACUGGAAGCACCAACCAAAAUUUCCUGAAUUCGACUGUUUCAGGAGCAGGGUGCAAUGUUUUUAGUACAAGAGACACGAAAGUCAUCCAGUCUAUCCCUUCACUCUGCAGAUGAGGGAUUCAGGUGUAGCGAGGGGAAGGGACUUGCUCAAGGUCUCUCCUGGAGAGCUGCAGAACCAGGCUGAGAACACGGGUGGUCUGACUGCUGAGCUAAUAGAGUCAGGCUGGGUCAUGCAAAAAGGAUGUGAGUCAGGGCGGAUCCUGUUCUGCUGGUGUUCAAAUGUGGCAUGUGUUCCUGUUGGCUCAAGGCUGGCCAGGACCGUACAGUCCAGGUGAACAACCCAUCUGGGUAGAGUGGACUCAGCCAGGUCCCAGGGGCCAAUGUGGCUGUGAGGAUGGACACAUAAAGCUAGCAUUGUGCAGCAAGCAUUUUGCUACUGCUGUGUUUCAACUCCAGCACUUGCAGGCCCUGCGGGAAGCACUGGCUGUCAACUUUGGUUGGUAGGAUUUGCCUGUUCUUGAGGAUCCCUCUAGCUGACCUGAUUUCUAAAACUCAUCUGUUCUGACUGCUGACCUGCUCUGAUCCCUUCUAUCACUGCUGUUCGACUGGCUGCUCUCCCACUCCACAGCUAACCCCAGGUGUCCAUGCUCCCAUGGGACUGAUUUUUCUUGAGCCCUGUGACCUGUGUCCCCAAGACCUUGGAGUCUCCCCACCAGCUCUUCUAUUUUGACUGGAGAUUUAGGGAGGAGAGUGUGCACAGAGGAUGGGUGAGGGGCUGCAUCCUGGAGAUGACAGUGCAUGAUUCUCCUCCCAUGGCCACCACAGUCCACUGGCCAGAACUCAGUCACAUGGAGUUUGGCUAAGUGCUAGGGGGCUGGGGGAAGGAACUGAUUUUGGUGAUUCUCAGUCUCUGACAUAAGAUCUAGCCUUCACUUGCACCAUUUCCCAGAGAUUCCCCACUUGGAGGUCACCAGUAAGCUCUGAUUUCUAAGCCUAAUGGCCAUAUCUCAACCUUUAUCUCCUUCACUUCCCAACAGCCAAUACUGCUGGCUCCUACCAUCCUUCCUCUUUCUCCCCCUACUUCUUCUCAGGAAAAAAGGGGCUCCUUUUCUUGUACCCUCAGUCACUAUCCCUAUGCUGCUAACUGGUACCUCUAUACCCAGAACCCAGGUCUUUCUCCUGAGGACAGACUGUACAUCCAGAUCCCCAGGAAGUGCCUCUCACAGAAUGUCUCACAGUGUGUCCUGCUCAGCAUGUUCUAAGCUCUGACAGGGAUUCACCAUCUUCCCUUCAAAGAUGCUUCUCA
rnacentral:lncRNA from 1 species